CGGCAGACAGCAGCCCCGGCACAUUAGCAUCUGCAGCCUGUCUGGGCCCUCCCCUCUGGAGUCCCUGUGCACUGCGACGACGCGCUGGCUUCCCAAAGCCGCAGUGGAUUGUGUAACCACACUGUGAACGCCUAGAAGACAGCGUGGUUAGCUUCACUCCUGACAGCAUCUGCUAAAAGUCACUGGUGCCAGUUAAUAAGAGACCCACCAGGCAGGAGGGACCCUAAGACUCUGGGGGAAGGAGAGAGCGAAGCGCUGUCUGGACGACAUCACUGGAGACCUUUAGACCCGAAGAGAACAAGGUGUUGAAGGACGGCGAGGAGGUUGACUUCUCCCCACACCUGCACCUACUUUAGGGAUCUCAGCAGAACAGCAAAGAAAACAUCCUGCUGGUCGACCUUGGUUUUCCCUCCUCCCUCCUGAAUCUUCUAGCGGCACGGCACUUCCUCACAGGGAGUGAAAGGCAACAGUCAAAUUAGGCCCAGAUGACCUGCUUGCAACGAAAGUGCAACUCAAUCCUUCUGUCUUCAGUCUGCAGCUGAAGGCUGAGCAUUUCCUGGUGGCCCAGGGGUCUGCCAUCUCACACUGCUCUUAUGGGAGGAUCUCCUUCCUCCUUCACCCACUCUCUUCCCAGGGGAUGGGAAAGGAAUGAGAGAGGAGAUUGGCAGCCAUCGUUUGAGCCAUAUGACCUGGCCCUGGGCUGGACACCACUUGACCAAACUUGGGAUCAUCAAACGCUUUCUCUUUGGGCAUUUGGAUUCACAGACCCCAGUUUGUAUCUGUUGAACUAAGGAGAAGAAAAUUCACAAACUGGAGACCACACCGUGGGGCAGGCAAGUGGUCUUACUGCUGAGUGCUCACAAGGGAGAAGUAAAGCAGACACACAGAGAAGUUAGGCAAAGCAAGCAAUUGAUCCUGAGAGACAGCUCCGCGGUGCCUCGUUCCAGCCACAGCGAAGGUCCUCCUAGCCUGGGUUCCCAAACUACCCCCGAAUCCUUGGUAACAACUCCCCCAUUUCUGUUACUUAUGGCCUGAAGAGUCCUAACUCAGCCAGCCAGGAAUUGACAGAACACGGAAAUGGAGCAGCAACUCCCCACCUUCAAGUCACCAUCAAGGGGUUACCAAAGCCCUGCCCACCGCUUGCUGCUGGAGGCUUCUUCUUGCUGCCAUGGAAACCGAUUCUGACCCCUCACCCCAGCCCAUCAGGGUGCUGAAAAGGGCUGCAGAGUCCUGGCUUCCUAAGAGAUUCUGGAACACAGUGAAUCUAUUGAUAUUUCACCUCAUGGGGAAUCAGACUGCUUUCUAGGCUUUGCUGGAAAUCUAGUCACUUUCUGUGGGGAAGCCAUUCUGAGAUCCAAGCUAACUUUUGGCACAUAACCCUUUCAAAAUUUGCAGACUACUGUAUAUGUGAAUUUGGUUACUGGCAGUCUUUUUUUAAAAGGGUAAUUUAUAUCUUUGCAUAUAUGUUACAUAAAGUAACCAAAGAUUAAUAGCCUUAGCAGAUUGGAGAUACAUCAUUUGUUGACAAAUGGAUCAAAACCCCAGGCUCCAAGGACUGUCCAGAUCACUGAAAUUUUAAAAUGUAAAGCAUUAAACACAGCUUUUUCUUUCUUCUCCUUAACUAA